UAGAAGCCAUGAAGAAUAGAAUUUGGUCAGAAUUCUAGGUUGUUUUUAGCAUCUCUCUUCUAUUUCUUCAAAGCUGUGUCAUCUUAGCUUCUCAGAUCCUCAGUUUCCUCAUCCAUAAGGUGGAGAAAUGAUUUCAUGAAUCAUUCAUGCCUGAAAAGAUCUGCUAUCUUAGAAGCACCCUGAUUUGAGACAAAGUGACAGAUUGACAUUUUGUGUCUUCUAAAGUUCUUGGCCUCUGCACCAGAAUCCACCUUGGCUAAGAGAUGUUUGAGGACACGGGGGGACCCUGAGAUAAACCAGAUAUGGACUCAGAACCAGGCAAAGCAAGGAAACUGGCCACAGGAAGCCUGGAAGAAAUGCCCCAUACGAGUGAUUCAAACUACCACAAGGAUGUGACUCUCUGAGCCUGCCCGUGUAUGCCUAUUCACACAUACUCUUUUCUCUCCUAAUAAACACUUUACUUGUCU